rnacentral:lncRNA from 1 species
AUCACACGCAUGCCAUCGAAAAUGUCAGGUGCUGAUGAUUGAAUCAACGACCAUUAUAUAUUUAUUCCUUGUCAGGAGUAUUCGUUUCUUUAGCUGUUCGAUUUUUUUUUGCGAUUAUCUACAUACUACUAGAGUUUGGUUGAGUUCGAUCAUCACUAAUUAUCGUAUCAUAUUUUAAAAAAAUUUGUUCCAAGAAUGUUGGUAUGUGGUAUCCUGAUCGAAAAUCGAUCUUGUAGGAUGUUCAUGUUUUAUUUGUUUUGGUUUUUAUUUUGCUUUGUUUUUAUUUUAUUUAUUUUUUGAAUUUGAGGUUCCAAAGAAAUUUAUUUGUACUUGCUAUGUUUGAUGGUGGUU